AAAUAUUCACAUAUAGAUUUUGUUUUUCCUUAAUUCAGAUAAUACAGCGCGGACAACAGUCAAAAGUAUUAGUAAAUAACUUACUAAUGACACAUAACUUUUGUUUA
rnacentral:sRNA from 1 species